rnacentral:rRNA from 1 species
CUCCGGUUGAUCCUGCCGGACCUGACUGCUAUCGGAUUGGUACUAAGCCAUGCGAGUCAUUGUAGCAAUACAAGGCGGACGGCUCAGUAACACGUAGUCAACCUAACUCGUGGACGUGGAUAACCUCGGGAAACUGAGAAUAAACCACGAUAGAUCAUAGUGCCUGGAAUGGCUUAUGGUCCAAACAGUUUACUGCCAUGGGAUGGGACUGCGGCCUAUCAGCUUGUUGGUGAGGUAAUGGCCCACCAAGGCGAUUACAGGUACGGGCUCUGAGAGGAGAAGCCCGGAGAUGGGUACUGAGACACGGACCCAGGCCCUAUGGGGCGCAGCAGGCGAGAAACCUUAGCAAUGUGCGAAAGCACGACUGGGUCAGUCCGAGUGAUUCCUGAUAAAGGAGUCUUUUGCUUGUCCUAAAAGCACAGGUGAAUAAGGGGUGGGCAAGUCUGGUGUCAGCCGCCGCGGUAAUACCAGCACCUCGAGUGGUCAGGACGUUUAUUGGGCCUAAAGCAUCCGUAGCCGGCUCUGCAAGUCUUCGGUUAAAUCCACCUGCUCAACAGAUGGGCUGCUGGAGAUACUACAGAGCUAGGGAGUGGGAGAGGCAGACGGUAUUCAGUGGGUAGGGGUAAAAUCCUCUGAUCCAUUGAGGACCACCAGUGGCGAAGGCGGUCUGCCAGAACACGUUCGACGGUGAGGGAUGAAAGCUGGGGGAGCAAACCGGAUUAGAUACCCGGGUAGUCCCAGCUGUAAACGAUGCAAACUCGGUGAUGCAUUGGCUUAUGGCCAAUGCAGUGCCGCAGGGAAGCCGUUAAGUUUGCCGCCUGGGAAGUACGGACGCAAGUCUGAAACUUAAAGGAAUUGGCGGGGAGCA